UUCCACCUCUAUCCUAUUUACCGAUUCUAUUUAGCCGGCUGUAACCAAUAAUUAACAGUACCUGAAAGUCAAUGAUUAAUAUGGCCUUACAUCUCACAGUUUUUCCCUUUUGUCCACAGCACGGUCAUGGCAAAAAACUUUACAAUAGGGAGUACAUGCAUGAGAUCACAGCGUUUUACCACACAACAUACAGCUCCUAAAUGAUGACUCCUGUGGCAGCAGAGAGUGAUGCCAUGGUGCAACUGGAGAUACACAAAGGCAACACAGCAAAACAAGGACUGCCAUUCCAUUACACCAUUUGGCCUGCAAGGCAGUGACCUCAGUUGGCCGAUACCCCAGGAGGCCAUGUCUCAUCACUGGAUCGCUGUGCUGGUAUGAAAGGUCAAAACUGUGCGCUGGCCUCCCACUGCUCCACUCUCUGAGGAAACAAAUCCAAGUGGUGCUUGGGAUGAGGGGGCCAACAGCAAAGUCCUGCCAACAGGCUGAGUGAGUGGGUUUUGGCAUUUGCAGCCAUCUCCUAAAAGUUGGAGCUCCUCUCAAACAGUGAGAAGGAUCCGUAUCUCAGGAAGAUAUGUGGGGAGUAGGGCUGCAGUGUGGGUGUGCCUUCUGCCUAUGGGAGGCAGGGAGGCAGGGAGGGAGGCAGUGCCAUGCCAGAGGCCAGAGGGGAACAGGGGGAGCCAAUUUGGACUCCAUGGUAAAAUUUACACCACUGAGCCCACUUCUAUAUGCAACAGAAAGAGGAAGGUGAGCUUCACUUUACUAGAAAACUGCCUAGUUCAGCCAGUGGUGUACACCACUUGCUGUUUUUGUUGUCAAAGUUUGCUUGCUCAGAAAUUUGGUUAUUACCCAGCUGAACGGAAUUUGGUUAUCACCCAGCUGAACAGAAUCUGGUUCUCCUACUCUUCGGGUAAUGAAGGAAAGUAUUUUUGUCCUAAGAAAAUUCUGAACCAUUAUGAGAACCAUUAUAAUCUUUUGCAAAAUUUGUUUAUGACACAAACAUUAAAUGCAGGUGAGAGAAAUGAGAAUAACCAGCCAAAAUCCACUGCUGUCUGAAUGUGCCAUGUAAAAUCUCUAUAGAAAGAAAAAAAAAAAUGAAAAAUCAUGUACGUAUCACAGGUGCAUAUCACAAGCAUAUAUGUAUAAUUGAUGCAGUGUAGUAACAUUCAGCACUCUUCUCUUCUAGCCCCACAUGGGCCAAAAAUGCACAGCACAGAUUUGGCUGAGCAGAGAUGACGGUGAGGGGGUAUCAGCACUCAAAGUAUAAAGAGGGACAGGCCCUGUGCCAUUAGAGUACCUAAUCCUUGGAAGCCCCACAGCUCAUGCUGUGGAGCAGAGAAGUUCCUGGGAGCAACUGAUAAAGGGAGGGGGACUGAACACUAGAAGAUGCUGGCCAGAAAAGCUGCAGAGUUUCUAUCCUUGGGGAUUCUCAAAUCCAGACCUAAUUCUAGGCAAUCUUCUAUAGGUGACCGUGCAAUUUGUAUUCAGUGCCUGAUAUUAAGGACAGUUUGUAGAGGUGGUGGAAACAGGCCUUGCAAAGCUUACAAAAGACUUCACCUGUUGACGCUGUGAAGGGUAAGAAGGUGAAGGAAGGCUGGCCCAAGAUAACCACUGGCUCUGCAGAGAUGCCAGGUAAAGGUGGAGGUAGGACAAUCUGCACAACUGGUGUCCCCCUUGUACACAGCUUCCCCUUGCCAAGCUGUAAAUCACCACUCAGGGGCUGGCCCAGCCCAGAGCUGGCUGUGGAAGAAAUCCCUCCUGGCAGGGAGAAAGGAGCAGCCUUCCUGGAAUGAGCGAGCAGCCAACAAACAUUGCAGCUCCAGACAAACUUCAGCCCUAGUCAAUCUGCUCGCUGCUGUCAGCCCUCCUGCCACCCCUUCCCCACUUUCUCCUGCCCUUCAGCCACCAGGAGCUGCAGCUUUUUUUUCCCCUGGAGUCUUCCCCAGCCCUGGCAGCAGCAUGCUGUCUGGCCUGGCAAGGGUGGCUUCACUGCCAGGCUUUCUACCCAGGAGGGUAACAGGCUCACUCACCAACACAGGGUUCACAAGGGGCCCCAGGCACAUCGCUUAGCCCCAUUCCCUGCCACUGCCUCCAUUAUCUUCCCCAGCCCUGCAUAGCCCUGGUGCGCAGACAACUGCCCAUUACUACUGAGCAGUUGCCUGAAUCCCACUAAAAGCUUGUCAAAGUGCCCAGAGAGCUGAAAGUGAGCUCUUUAAAUUACAUUUGUUGAAAGAUCCCUGGUGCCUGUUCCUGCUUUUCGUUUUCAACAACUCUCUGAAAUCAUAGUUUGUUUUACAGUGAUGUUUUGUUUUUCUUUUCCUGCAUCCAACCUAUAAGUCAUGGAUGAUGCAUAUUGAACACAUUAAAUGGAUUUCAGUGGGCUGCACACCAUGUGUGCACAGGGCUGAGGCCUGGGAGAACGGCAUUUUUGUGUUUGCUUUCUGUGCCAGGAAGCCAUGCAGUGUGCUGCUCCCUUAUGCAUGGCCCUGCAUUGAUUUCUGCAAAUGUGAAAACCAAGAAAGAAGCUGCAUGGAUAGAGACAGCAGAACCACUAAGGAUACUACCAAAGAGGAAGAAUCAAGAGUCUAACUGAUGGGUUAAAGCAGUGCCUGGAAAUCAGGACUGCUUGGAUCAAUGCCUAACCACAGCUGACAACAGGCAAGUCUCUUCACUGCUGUGCUUCUGCCUCCCCAUCUGGAAACCGAGGAGAGUAAACAAAUUCAGUGCCCUAUCCUCAGGGAAGUGGAGACCUUCAGCUACAAGCCAUCUCUCCCAGAUUACACUUCUGAAGAUGUAAAGAAGAAAACAAGGUUCAGAAGACAGCACCUCGCCAAAAUAAAGAUAUUUUAGGAAGGUAUUUCUGACUCCAUACGGAUUAUGUGUAAACUUAAGUUACUGAGACAAAAUGGGGACUGUUUGGUUAAAGCUCAAAUCCUGCCUGGCCUUUACUAGGCUAUGUUUCAAGCAUCCUGUUUUGCCUAAUCUCUACAUCUCACUCUAUCACCUUAAUCCAACUUCUCCAGGAGUACUCUCCACAGUCCUACCCAACAGCUGGACUUGGGACCAAAAACAUCAGUCCUGGAGAACUGUGCCGCAUGGUUUCAAGUAUCUGAGGCUGAGUAGGGGUCAGAAAAUUGAGUUCAAACCAAACCCUUCUCUUGAACCUUUGACUGACCUUUGAAGGAGCCCCACAGGCUGGGUUUGGGCUGUAGGUUCCAAAAAUCUUAUUCCAGAGUCUCAUCUUGUUCUUGUGACUGAAUUAUCAUGGCCCUAUGAUAGCCAAAUUGACAGCAGUUCCACGUCAACUGUGUCAACACAGAAAUCCCAAAUUCAAAAGUACAUGGGUGGGACAGGGUGGAGAAAAGUGCCGACUAUUUUUAAUCAAAAGUUUCAACAGCCUUUCCCUAGAUAUGACGAGUUUCCAGAUUUGAAGUGCUUAGAAGCAAUCCAGAAUUUAUAUGUAGGUAAUAUAAUGGCUCUGAUGAUUAGCUGUUGAUUGAGAAAACUUGAGGAUUCUAUGACAAAAACAUAAUGUAAGCAGUGUAGUUUCCUGACAUUUCCAGUGCACUAUAAUUCUUUCUGUGUAAUGUAUAAGCCCUCUAUUUAUUUUUCAGAGUUCUGAAAGCUUAAUAUUUCACUGAUAUAUUCCCUAUUAAACUCACCUCAACAGAUCUUUGGCUUUUUGAUGGGGAGCCCUAAAAGGUUGGCCCAACUAGAGGCACUGAAGCAAAGUCCGUGUUCCUAACAGUUCUUACUUUGCUUUCUGGGGAAAGCCUUUCCUGAUCUUUUACUUCUUGGCUGUCAGCCUAAAUGCUCACUCUGCCCUUUCUAUGGACCUCCUGUAGGAGCUUUGAGCAAGGAAGCGGACAUACCAACUCUCUCACCAAAUCACGGACCAAAACACAUUUCCUUUUAUUAACAGCUCUGGAAGUAACUUUGGUUAGGUAUCCACCAUGCAGCCACAUAAAGAUCAGUCAGUUAUCUUCUGGGGUCACCUUUGUCAGUCACCUACCAGUUCAGGCAAUAAAUGUACUCUUGAAUAUGUUUGCCAAUGUUAUUCAUUUCUUUCACAAUACGUAACCCCUUUCAUUUCACAAAUAUGACGUUAGGAAAUACUACUACUCUGAAAGGGUGGUCAGGCACUGGAAUGGGCUGCCCAGAGAGGUGAUGGAGUCACCGAUCCUGGAGGUGUUCAAGGAACAUUUGGAUGUUGUGUCGAGGGACAUGAUUUAAUGAAAAUUGUUGGUGAUGGGUGAAUAGUUGGACUGGAUGAUCCUGUGGGUCUUUUCCAACCUUAGUGAUUCUAUGAUUCUAUGAUAUCAAGCCUAUCUCACUUGAGAAAAUCUUUGCUGCAAAAAUGUUAGAUGGUAGCCAUGCCACCAGUCCACUGAUGACACUUACAGGUUUAUAGCAUGGGGCCACUAAAAGGCUUUGCAAUCUCAUCCUUCACAAGGAUGGAGAGGACUUUGGGGUUCUGAGUACUACUGAGCACUGCUGAUGCCCACUGAGCAUUACUGAGAUGUGUGAGGUUUUCAAGAAAGUCUUGACUCACAAAGUCAUCUUGUUACACGAAGAUCUGUCUUCAUUUCAAAAGAACCUUCCAGCACUGGUAAGUGCAUAAAAGUCCUGGAAAUGUGGUAUCCAAGGGUUCCAAAGACAGUAUCCAACACAAAAUAUAUAUAUAUUAUUUUUAAAAUGCUACUGUGUUAAAAUCAAUCUUAUGAUUCAUUUCUGAAACUCCUGAUCUUGUAUGCUUAGGAGUGGAAGUAUAUGCUCCCUGACCUCAACAAAGGCUUAUAAUAAUGACAAGUUAUUUCAUUAAGAUAUAGCAGCUGUUGUACUACAACAGCCACCCCUAAAAAUUCUUCAGUUGCCUGAGGUAAGCAAAUAAUGAUUCUUCAUUAUUCACAGGUUGUAUUCUUUAUAUUAAGCACAGGGAAGUUUAGAUAACAUCUAAUUGCAAAGUGAAGCACUGGAAAGUUUUUGAGGGUGGCAACAGCAUACCUAAAUGACAUUUAUUUAUUUAGAAGCUCUUAACACAUGCCUUUCACUUAUCCCAGGCAGACACUGAGCCCUGAAAUCAAAACUCAUGCAAUAUCACUUGGCCCCAUGCCUGUACUUGGAAGAUGUUUCUCAGCACACCCAAAACAAGAUACUGCUUUCCCAGUUUCUACCACUUAAUCAUUCUCCUGCAGACACCACCCAGAGUAAAAAACUGGGAUAAGCAGAGAAAUCCUUACUUAAAUAGACUUCAGAUGACUGUACUGAGCAUUAACAUUACCUAAAUCAUUAGAAAUAAAAAUUUAUUCCCCAAGUUUUGUCUGCCAUUUCAAUCUUAGCUAAUUUUUCUUCCAGCUUUAUAAAUCUCUGAAUGUGCAGAUUCUUGACUGAAACACUGACACAACCACAGCAAUGGCAGCCAGGCUGUGCUGUAACAGCAUUAGAAGCAAGGCAAUGGGACAGUCUACAUCUUACUGUUAAGAAGCCUUAGCAAAACUUUGUGAUCACAAGACAUAGUAGCUGCAGAUUUAAUGCUUACAGAACAGGAAAGCAUGUUACGGUCACUGAUCUGGGUUGACCCGCAAAACACAAGCCACAGAAUCAGUGAUUCCUGGGCCUUUUGUCACAUGCAUCAUGCUGAGAUGGAUUUUUCAGUGGUUAACAUGCCAAUAAAGGCAAGGCCAUGUGGCACUGCAAUAUUCACAGAGUUGUCUGUCACUCCACCCUCGUUACACAAACAGAUUUGAGGUCUCAAAUCUUUUUAAAGAAAAGAACCUCUAACAAAGCAUUUUAAAAAUGUCCCCUCAUCCCCAGUCCAGCAUGCAUCAAGGGAUGUUUUUCAUUACUGCAACCCUAACCCUAUCCCAGAAACAGGUUUUCAGAUGAGCUGGACCUUACCUGGCAUUACUCCAGUGCCAUUUCAAAUACGCACAUUUAGCAGCGAUUUUCUAAGUGCAUACACCUUUAUUCACUGCUCAUUUGCAGAAAGGCUCUUUUCCAAGGAAAAGGAACUUGCAUUUCUCCCUGUCCAUUUACAAGGAGCCAGGGAGCUUGGAGGCAUACAAAACACAGCCUUUUCUUCCAGGCAGGCACACACAUGAUUCCAAUCUCCUCGCUCCGAAUCUGGAAGCCCCUGCUGCUACUUUAGACCACAGAAUCUGAAAACAUGCCAUAGAGGAAGCAAGCAGGAGGCAGGGAUCCUACACACGCAGCCAUGACUGCAGUGUGGCUCAGAGCCCCACUGUGAGUAGCAACCAUCAGUGCAGCACAUCAGUGUGUCGCUGGCUGAGCUCUCUUAGGCAAUGAAGAAAGAAAGAAAAUGAAGUGAGCCUGGUUCUUGUCAACAGAGAGCAGUGAAGAGAAGGCAGCAGGGCAGAGGGCUGCUCUUAUUAAGUGAUUCAUUCUGGACAGGAAACUGAUGCUUGGCAGUGAGGGCAGCAGUACAGAUCCCUGCUGCUGCUGAGCUGUUGGUUUACAUAAAUGCCCUCAAACCCAGAAGAUGUGUGACUAGCCUCUGGGUCAGGCUCUUAACAAAUGAAGGUGAAAAUAUGCAAUACCAGAGCAUCCUUUCCUUCUUUAGCACCUCUCCUCCCAACCACACUGGCUUUGCUCCAUUCAACUGGUGUCUUUGCUACAGCACCCAGUGAUACUG
ensembl:lncRNA